GACAGAGGGUGCAAACGUUGUUCGGAUUUACUGGGCGUAAAGCGCGUGUAGGCGGCCUUGCAAGUCGGAUGUGAAAGCCCACGGCUCAACCGUGGAAGUGCAUCCGAAACUGCAUAGCUUGAGUCUCGGAGAGGAAGGUGGAAUGCUUGGUGUAGAGGUGAAAUUCGUAGAUAUUGGGAAGAACACCGAUGGCGAAGGCAGCCAUCUGGACCGACACUGACGCUGAGGCGCGAAAGCGUGGGGAGCAAACAGG
rnacentral:rRNA from 1 species